CACUUCGGUGGUACUCGAGCGGCGAACGGGUGAGUAACACGUGAGUAAUCUGCCCCUGGCUUUGGGAUAGCCACCGGAAACGGUGAUUAAUACCGGAUAUGACAUGGACUCGCAUGGGUUUGUGUGGAAAGUUUUUCGGCCAGGGAUGUGCUCGCGGCCUAUCAGCUUGAUGGUGAGGUAAUGGCUCACCAUGGCUUCGACGGGUAGCCGGCCUGAGAGGGUGACCGGUCACACUGGGACUGAGACACGGCCCAGACUCCUACGGGAGGCAGCAGUGGGGAAUAUUGGACAAUGGGCGGAAGCCUGAUCCAGCAACGCCGCGUGAGGGAUGACGGCCUUCGGGUUGUAAACCUCUUUCAGUACCGACGAAGCGCAAGUGACGGUAGGUACAGAAGAAGCACCGGCCAACUACGUGCCAGCAGCCGCGGUAAUACGUAGGGUGCGAGCGUUGUCCGGAAUUAUUGGGCGUAAAGGGCUCGUAGGCGGUUUGUCGCGUCGGGAGUGGAAACGCCGUGCUUAACACGGCGCUUGCUUUCGAUACGGGCAGACUAGAGGUAUGCAGGGGAGAACGGAAUUCCUGGUGUAGCGGUGAAAUGCGCAGAUAUCAGGAGGAACACCGGUGGCGAAGGCGGUUCUCUGGG
rnacentral:rRNA from 1 species